CGUACACUCCUGCGGGAGGCAGCAGUGGGGAAUAUUGCACAAUGGGCGCAAGCCUGAUGCAGCCAUGCCGCGUGUAUGAAGAAGGCCUUCGGGUUGUAAAGUACUUUCAGCGGGGAGGAAGGCGAUAAGGUUAAUAACCUUGUUGAUUGACGUUACCCGCAGAAGAAGCACCGGCUAACUCCGUGCCAGCAGCCGCGGUAAUACGGAGGGUGCAAGCGUUAAUCGGAAUUACUGGGCGUAAAGCGCACGCAGGCGGUCUGUCAAGUCGGAUGUGAAAUCCCCGGGCUCAACCUGGGAACUGCAUUCGAAACUGGCAGGCUAGAGUCUUGUAGAGGGGGGUAGAAUUCCAGGUGUAGCGGUGAAAUGCGUAGAGAUCUGGAGGAAUACCGGUGGCGAAGGCGGCCCCCUGGACAAAGACUGACGCUCAGGUGCGAAAGCGUGGGGAGCAAACAGGAUUAGAAACCCUAGUAGUCCCA
rnacentral:rRNA from 1 species